rnacentral:lncRNA from 1 species
UGAUUUUCAUUAGAUCAAGAAUUAAAAGACACCCUCUCUCAGAUAAAGCUUCCACUUUUCUUUGGGUUGGGUGGACGGAUAGAGGCAAAUAGUCAAUGUGAAAUUCACUUUGCAAUCACUUGCAAAUUGCAUAAUUCUAUUUAGUGAUGCAGAUGCUUAAACAAAUACAUGACUUGAUGUUUCCUUAUCUGAGUUGUAAAAUUUGUGUACCCAACGUGGAGAAAUGAUUUGUGCACCCAACGUGGAGAAAUCAUUUGUGUACCCAACGUGGAGAAAUCAUUUGUGUACCCAACGUGGAGAAAUCAUGUUCUUAUGUUUUGGUUGCAUUUUUUUGAUUGGUUGGUGUAGUACGAGGGGA